rnacentral:lncRNA from 1 species
GGGAUAGAAGGGUGCGCGGUGGACGCUGAGACUCACCAACAGAAAUUUAAAUUGUCAAGAAGGGGAAGUAGAAGGGUGCGCGGUGGACGCUGAGACUCACCAACAGGAAAUUAAAUUGAUGCGCGGAGGGACGCGAUUACGCUCCAACAGAAAAUUAAAUUGUCAAGAAGGGGGAUAGAAGGGUGCGCGGUGGACGCUGAGACUCACCAACAUGAAUUUAAAUUGAUGCGCGGAGGGACGCGAUUACGCUCCAAUAGACAAUUAAAUUGAUGCGCGGAGGGACGCGAUUACGCUCCAACAGAAAAUUAAAUUUGUCAAGAAAGGGGAUAGAAGGGUGCGCGGUGGACGCUGAGACUCACCAACAGAAAUUUAAAUUGUCAAGAAGGGGAGGUAGAAAGGUGCGCGGUGGACGCUGAAACUCACCAACAGGAAAUUAAAUUGAUGCGCGGAGGGACGCGAUUACGCUCCAACAGAAAAUUAAAUUUGUCAAGAAGGGGGAUAGAAGGGUGCGCGGUGGACGCUGAGACUCACCAACAUGAAUUUAAAUUGAUGCGCGGAGGGACGCGAUGGACGCUGAGACUCACCAACAGGAAAUUAAAUUGAUGCGCGGAGGGACGCGAUUACGCUCCAACAGAAAAUUAAAUUUGUCAAGAAGGGGGAUAGAAGGGUGCGCGGUGGACGCUGAGACUCACCAACAGGAAAUUAAAUUGAUGCGCGGAGGGACGCGAUUACGCUCCAACAGAAAAUUAAAUUGUCAAGAAGGGGGAUAGAAGGGUGCGCGGUGGACGUUGAGACUCACCAACAGAAAUUUAAAUUGUCAAGAAGGGGAGGUAGAAGGUGCGCGGUGGACGCUGAGACUCACCAACAGGAAAUUAAAUUGGAUCUUCUUGAUUGAUGAUUUUUUUUUUUUUUUUAAAAAAAAAACAGAUUGGUGGGAUUGACCCGAGCCCAAUUAAACACUGAAAGAAAUGAAAAUGCAAGUUCAAUAUUAUCAAACUGAAUGAUUAAAAUGCACGUUGCUCAAGUUGGUGGAUUUGCAAUCUCUCUUUUUUUUUCCAAAUUUUAGAAGAAAUGAAAGAAACACACCUUUUUUUUUUUUUUUUUUUUUUU